CUUUUCUUAAGUCCAGGGUCUGUAUUCUACUGCUCUGCUUUCUUCCUUGUGUCAGGAUCCUACUAACUCUUCUCUGUGAGCAGCAGGUCAAGAAGAGCUCUGCCCCUCGUUGGUUCCUCCAGCACUUGCACUAGGAAAUUGUCCCCUACACUUUCCAAAAACUUCCUGGAUUGUCUGUGCACUGCUGUAUUGCUCUCCCAGCAGAUAUCGGGGUGAUUGAAGUCUCCCAUGAGAACCAGGGCCUGCGAUCUAGUAACUUCUGUUAGUUGCCAGAAGGAAACCUCGUCCACCUCAUCCCCCUGGUCUGGUGGUCUAUAGCAGACUGUUAAACAGGAGCUACUAUUUUAAAAUCAUCAGGUCCAUAUAAACUUGCAUCCAAGCAUUUAAAAAGAGCUGGAUGAGAAGCUUGCUGGACUGUUAUGUUGAUUUUUGACAUUGGGGAAGUUCGAGAAGACUGGAAGAAAGCUAAUAGGCCAGUGAGGCUGACACAGGUAAUUACAGGCCUGUCAGCCUGACAUCAAUGCAGGGCAAGGUAAUUGGCUGAUACAGUACUUGAUUCAUAAAGAACUAAAGGAGGGAAAUAUAAUUAAUGCAAAUCAGCAUGGGUUUAUGGAAAAGAGACCAUGGUAAACUGUCACCAGAGCACAGGCUCGGGGCUCUGGAUGAAGCCAGGCAGGAUGCUGGGGUGCAGCAUCUCCCCUCAGGGCACUUGUCACCAGGGCAAGCCCCUCGGAGUAUUCAGCCCCCUGGUCACCCCGUGAACUCUCCACAGCGAGUCUCCCUGGAGUAGCCUCACCCCCAAAGGGCCCUGCCCCCCCGUGCCACAGCUAGACGUGACUCCCAGCCCGCGUGUGACAGAUGGGUCAUUAUCAUCAGGAACCCAGCGUAGAACAGAGCUUGAUUGAUGAAGGUUCCUGAUUUCGACGGUAAGUCCGGGUGGGGGGAGAGGGAGCAUAGCCCUGGGCUCCCCAUCCCACAGCCUAGCUUCAGUCACCUCUAGCUGCCCUCCUGUCCUUAGUCUCUUUCCUGGGCAAACACGUUGUCACGGAGUCCCUGGGCGAUGCUCUGGAACUGCUACCCACAAGCCAGGCAGGACUCUGGGGAGCCUCCUCUCCCUUGGAGCAGACUCUGUCCAGGGCAAAAAGCUCACACCGCUUCACCUCCUGCGUCUGACCUUGGAGCAUUCAGCAUCCUCUGCCCCUCCGUGCACUUCCCACAGCGAGUCCGCCCAGGCAGGGUCAUGGGGAAGCCACAGGGGUCUAAAACAGAGCUUGUAGGUACAGAGAACAGGUCCCCUCAACCGGGUCCAUUCUGGGGCCCAGCGAGCCAGACAACCCCGUCUGCCCUCACUUCCCGUCCCCAGCCAGCUCCAAACUGAAACUCUCCAGCCCCACCUCUGGCCUUUGUCUCUUUCCUGGGCCAGGACGUCACCUGAUCCCUUUGUUCUCCUUUAGCCAUUCCCUUGCAGGGGGAAGGGCCCCAGCCAGUUGCUAGCAGACAGAUUGUGGGCCAUUUAUGCACACUGGAGACUUAAGAAAAUCAUAGGGGAAACUGAGGCACCCAAACUGUCUUCAGAGGAAACAUUAAGAACAGUCCCACUUCAUCACAGGUUUCCCGGCAUCCAUGUCUCACUUUAUUCUCCAACACCUCCCCCUGGCUCUUGCAAAGGGUGGGCUCCGGCCAUCAGUUGCCAGGAUAGAGCACCUGGCCAUUCUCCGUGCCCAAGCAGCCCGUCAGCAGUCGCACCUCCCCUCUGGGGUCUCUGCAAAGAUCACACACCCUUGUUCCACCACCUAGGUACUUGAGUAACAGGGGAAACUCAGGCACACACUAUUCAGAAAUGCACUAAGAACAUUCCCACUUCAUCACAGAUUAACUUGAUAGCUCUCUUUGAUGAGAUUACAAAUUUGAUUGAUAAAGUUGAUAGUGUGAUGAAGUGGGGGGUUUUCUUAUGUGUUUGCAUUAAGAUGGUGUGUGUGUGUGUAUGUUUAACAAGGUGGUGGGGGAGGGUUUGUAGUUUCAGAGGGCCAGGUGUGACCUCAGCUAGCUGCCGGGACCCCAGACAACGGCCUGGAGAUGGAGUACGGUCCAGCUCAGCUGGGCAGUCAGCCGGUUCUGGCCAGUGCGAGGACAAUGAGCUGUGGAGAGAGGACCCCGGUGCCCUGACCAGCUGUUCUGGCCAGUGGGAACAAAGCAAAGUGUCACCUGGUCACAUCCCACUCCUGGGGGCACCAGCCAUCGCCUAUGUGCAGGCCCCUCGAGCCGCCUCGCCUGCACCGAGGGUCUCAGCAAAAGUCACACCCUCAUUCCCACCACCUAGGCAUUGGUGCAGCACACAGGGAAACUGAGGUACACACAGCAUUCAUGCAAAACAGUAACACAUACAACCUCAUGGGAAAAACCCACUUGGUUACAGCUAGAGAUCGGUGGCAUUGUUCUGUCUAGGAGUGGAGGCCCUGUGGGUCCAGAGCGAGGGGACUCCCUGAGGGGGCCUCCAGCGAGAGACAGGCAUGCUGGAGGCUGGACCCCGAGAAGGACGGUCACACUGAAGCCAGUUCCUCCCCAGGACCGUACGAAGCUGAGAGAACAUGGGGCCUGGGAGUCUGUGAGAGACGUAAUAUGCUGACUUCCGGAAGGUGACCUACAGUGCUACCAAAUUAACAUAGUGGUAUGCCACCACCAUGGUGGUGUCGCUGUGUGCAUUCCAGGAUACUGGACAGCAUGGGGGAGGUGACGUCUCGGAGUAGCUCACAAGCUUGUCACCAACAGAAGAUUUGUAUUUCCCCUGACUUGUCUCUGUGACGUUAACAUCGUACACACUGUAAUGGAUUCAAAAUGGGCUGACUGCCAACUCUCCGAAUGGGGGUGGGGAUCGGCAAGCUGGGCUGUAUCCAGCGGGGUCCUGCAGGGAGUGGUUCUUAGCCCUGCACUAUUUACUAUUUCAUCAGUUACCUGAAAAAAAAUAAAGCAUCACCAUGGUGACCUGGA